UUUUUUGUUUUUAUUGGCGGCCGGGGUCUAAUAACGAGGUUGUAAAUAAAGACUCUGAGAACGAGGUCGCUAUCGCGGAGUCAUUUAGUCGGGCUCCCUGUGUUCUUUGCAUACUUUAUUUACGUAGAGGUAUCAGUUACCAGUGAGCUCGAGGAAGUGCACUGAGCUGAUUCUGAAACGUCAGCUAAACAACGAGUGGCGAGGAUUUCCCCCUCAAAAUACAUCAAAAUGACCCGCGGUAACCAGCGAGAACUUGCGAGGGCCAAAAACCAGAAGAAGUUACAAGAACAGCAGAAGAAGAAAGCGGCCAAAGAGUCGGGAGCAAAUUCGGGUUCAAAUCUGGAGAACCGACGCCACAGGGAUGCCGAGGCGAUGCGUUUGAAGCAGCAGAAGGCAGAGGAAAAGAAACUGGCAGAGGCAGCGGGGGGCAGCUCGAAGUAACCCCGGCCCUUCCGGAGGACGUCUCAGGCCAAGGAGAAAUGGAAAUUAAACAUCAUGGCAUCCCAUUCCUCUCGGAGGCUUACUUAUAAAUACUGGCCAAGGCACUUGUAGAUAAGGCGACAGAAAGAUGAACAGAUGAAAUAUUUUUUUCCCCACUACCCUUUUCUUAUUAUUAAAAAACAGAUUCAUUGAGCUGGAAGAAGUAAUACUCCAAGUUUCAUAAUUAUUGUAAAUUUUUGUCGUGUCAUUUAAAAUCUUGUUUUUGCAAAGUAACAGAUUUUUUUUCUGCAUUGCAUUCCUUUUUUUUUCCUGAUUGUGUAUCACAAAUAAAAAGUUAGAAAUUACAUGUAGGAGUGUGUUUAUCACCCAUUGUAAUGUGUGAAUUUUUUUCAGCUUAUUUUGUAAGACUGUAUGUUAUUUACAAACAUAAUGUUAUUAAUUUGCAUGCUAGCCUUUUGAAAAGGAUCACUCACUCUUACAUUUGGCACAAAAUAUUUUGACCGUGGAAAUAUUGGAUGCACAUGAAAACAAAAGCUACGACAUUCACUCAUAAAAUUGAAGACAAGUACACGCUGAUUGUCAAAGUUUUCGUUUUCUUGAUUGUCAAAGUGUUGAUAAAUUUAUGUGUAUUGUAAGGUCAUAAAUCGCCUGAAUAAUAUCCACAGAAAGCUCCUUUUGACUUGUCAGUACAAAUAACCACAUAUUCACAUACAUCUCAAAUUGUUCUCUUGCAGGCAAGUUUAUUACAAAAGAAUUGAUGCAGAAAUAAAAGCAACAGCAUUUUUGAACUUUACAGAUAAA